UGGCAGGUGGGCAUGACGCGCACCUGUGCCUUGUUCAGCAUCAUGGCUGGGAUUAUUUAGGCAGUGAGCUGACAGCUGGAGGACGCCAGAGUGUUAACCUUGUAUGGUCGCCUCACGCUCUGGACCCCGUUCCAGGCACUCGUCCUCGUGCUCUGACUUCCACGGUCAGCCUUCUGACUCUGCCUUACUGGAUCCCACUCCAGACUCUCUCUCGUGCUCAUACCAACACUGCUACCAACUUGGAUCUACUCCCGAGGCUCCCUUGGUAAUACCAAGCCGGGCUAAGUACCUCUUCAGAUCACCCUGGCUCGUCCAGCUGCUCACUGACCACAACUCCCACCAACGGUGCUGCUCGGACCCCACCACAGCUCCAUCAAACCCGCUCACCAGCCGCUCAGUCACCUGUUACCAUCAUAGAGGAUAAACUUACUGAGUCCGUCUUUCUGCUCCAGUUCCCCCGGCUAGGUUUCCCUAACUCAGCGAACAGUCUCAGUCAGACGCUUGCCCGUCGUGAUUCCUCCACGUCUGUUUCUCGCUGUACUGAAUACCUUAAACUGCUUUCUGCCUCCUGAUUGUGUUCUGCAUGUGGGUCAAACACCUAAAAAACAUGACACC